rnacentral:rRNA from 1 species
UACGUAGGGUGCAAGCGUUGUCCGGAAUUAUUGGGCGUAAAGAGCACGUAGGCGGUUUGUCGCGUCUGCUGUGAAAACUCGGGGCUUAACCCCGGGCCUGCAGUGGGUACGGGCAGACUAGAGUGCGGUAGGGGAAACUGGAAUUCCUGGUGUAGCGGUGAAAUGCGCAGAUAUCAGGAGGAACACCGGUGGCGAAGGCGGGUCUCUGGGCCGUAACUGACGCUGAGGAGCGAAAGCGUGGGGAGCGAACAGG